rnacentral:lncRNA from 1 species
AUGUCACUGAGUGCGACGUGUGAGUCCGUGUCCCGGAAGAGGACUCUGUCCAGCCUCCUCGCUGGUCGUGUAAUAAAGAGGCCAAAGCAAGAAGACCGUCAGAGGCUGCAGGAGGCAGCAAUCCAGCUGCUGGAGCAGAACCAGAACAUCUGCAGUCUGUUCAGGGAGUUGGGGAAGCCAAAUCAGUGCAAUAUUUUAAGUUCUCAAAAUGAAGAAGCGAAACGGGACGAGUCUGGCAGUAUCUCCUCUGUUGUUGCUGGGUCACUGCUUGGGAGUGAGCUCCGGUGUCAAGCCAAACUGCUGGGUGUCCCUGUGACGGUGCUGUCUGUAAAAUCAGUGUUGGAAAGACUGAUGGAGAUCACCGAAGAGAAAAAGGAGGAAGAGGACGAGGACAGAGAGAUGCUCACAAUCUCUCAGAGAGUGAGUAUCUGUCAAAAGAUGAAUUUGACGCUAUAAUCAGAAAAGUGAUGCAAACAUCAAGAGAAUGCGCAAGAUUGUCUCUUAUGAACAAAGUAAAAUAAGAAUCAGUUAUUUUUGUUUCUUGCAGAUAUCCUCCUGAGAAAAUAAACAAAGCUGACUUUGGUUUCAGUCUGUUGUAUCUGUUAUGACUUAAAGGGACUUUACGGAGUUUUGAAUUUUUAUGCUCGUGAUCGCCCCCUCAGGCCAAAAGCAUAACGGCAGCUUCAGUAGUAGGCUCGUGCACGAGGCGCACAUGCUGUACGUGCACACUCCUUAACGAAAGUAACAGCUGAGACAGUCCCGUGUGUGUGUGUGUGUGUGUGUGUGUGUGUGUGUGUGUGUG